AUACAGCUGAUGAGUCCCAAAUAGGACGAAACGCGCAUCCUGGAU
rfam:Schistosoma mansoni strain Puerto Rico chromosome 1, complete genome